AAGAAAUUGGCGCACUGUAGUGAGUACUUUAAUUGUUUUAUUCGGCUCUUUUUAUAUUUUCUUUGUAUAUAAUUGGUUCGUGAAUUGAGCUGAUAAUUUCUCCGCGAGAUAUCUUCUUAUGCGUUUUAUGUGACUCAUCGGGUUUACCUAUGUUUCAGGACGAAACUUUUGUUCACAAGAAAUCGAUAAUACAUGAAAAUUUAACGAAGUUCUACGUCUCAGUGUAUUCACUUAACAUUUCGUCUACAAGCUAUUAAGAACAAUGAUUGAAAAUUACUUGAAUAUUUGAAUUUACUUUGCUUGAUUACUAGAAAUUUCUUGAAACUUGAAACAAUGAAGGCAAAUGAAGACAUUAUUAUGGAACCGAUUGGAAAGACGAAACGAGCUCGAGCCAGCGCAAAAAGACGAAACUUUUGUUCACAAGAAAUCGAUAAUACAUGAAAAUUUAACGAA